rnacentral:misc_RNA from 1 species
AAUUAGAGGGAAAAAAAAAAAAGGAAGAUGUUGGCAAUAAAAAAGUUUGAGAGCUGAAGAAGUAGAAUUGGGAAAAAUUUUAUAUAUAUACUCCUGCGAUUAUUUUUAAAAAUUUUAUUUGGCUUUCACUUCUUCAGCUUUCAUUAGCCCAAAUAAAAAUGCAACCAUCUAAUAAGGAAAAUAAAAAGAAAAAAAGAAAAGAAAAGUGAAACAGAAGAAAUCAUUGAACCAAAGCUAUAGGUGAAGCAAAGCGUAUUAGAAUAAUAGGAGACCACAAGUUGACAAAUUUGAAGUCAUUGUUUCUUUGAGAGGAGACUUUGUGUUUAGAGGAAAGAUCUCUCUCUCUCCCUCUGGGAUUGUGGGGGAUCUCUCUAUCCUCACAUAUCAGAUACUGGCCCAGCAGAUCUGAGUUAUUUUCUCUCUAUAUGUUGUUUUGUCUGGGGAUGAUUCAAAAUUCUUCAAGGGCUUUGCAGAGUCACCCAACCUUUUUUCUGGGUUGUUGGGGUCUUUGUGAAUUUGUUUUUUGUUGGGCUGGCACUAGCAAUUUUCAUGGAGCUAGCCGAGUUUCUUGAGAAUUCAUAGGGGAGGUUUUAUAUAUGGUGGUGGUGGUAGUAGUGGUGGACGAUGCUGUAAGGAAUGGGUACUAAAAUGCAGCCUAAGAUGUAUCUAUCAGGAUAUUAUCCCAUGAGGGAUUUAAACGACGGUACUGGCAAUUUUACCUGGCCUUCUCAUCAUGAAAACAAAGCCUUUGGGCAGUACUAUGACAUAUUCACAGCAAGGCCGGCAAUAGAUGGAUACUUGGGAUAUGAUAAGGAACAGUUGAGGCAAACUAUAUUGAAGCAUGAAACCAUAUUCAGGAAGCAGCUCCAUGAACUGCACCGUCUUUAUAAAAUACAAAUGGAGAUGAUGAAUGAAGUGAGAAGCGAACAACCACAGAAACACCUCAAACCCAUGGGGACAUCGCAAUCGAGUUUUUUUGCCUUUCCAUCUCUAGAUGACAAAAACAGGUGGCAGGAUUCUAGUUUGCCUCUGGUGGAUUUUAGUCAUCAUAUACCAUCUGCAUCAGGUGCUGAUAGUAUCCAGUCACACUUCAGUUCCAUGAAUGUGAACAUCUUGCAAUCUUGUUGUGGUUCUACCCAAAAUGGUUCGAGGUCUAAGGAGUACGAAUCUCUUGAAUUUAAACGCAAGAAUCUCCAGAGAAGAUUGUUUGACCUUGAACUUCCAGCUGAUGAAUACAUGAAUGAUGAAGAGGAAGAACAAGGGGCGUCUGGAGGGUCAGGGGUGGAAAGUUGUCCUGCUAAUAGGAAUUGUGAUAUUGCUUGUGAGAAAAAUGGCAACUUGUCUACUCACAGUGGAGCUUACUCUAUUUGCAAUGGAGAUGCUUCCAGUUCCAAUAUGAAUUUAAAGCGGAACUUGGGUUUCACUGAUCUGAAUGAACCUGUCCAGAUUGCGGAAGCAUCUGGUACAGCUUCUGUUGAUAUUCUAGGCAAUUUUAUCUCCUUUAGAGAAGGGAUACAAAGGAUAGAUCUUUCUGCAAGUUCUUGUUCAGGUUUUUUGGCUAAGGAAACUUCCCAAAGCCCACCUAAAGAAAAGUAUGAGGGAGUUAACGCACGUGAUCAGCAUUUGGAGGAUGAAAAGAGACAAAAGGGAGGGUCACCUUUCACUUUUAACCCUGGCCAAACUACAAGCAAAAAAAGUCCUCAGAAUGAAGGUUUUAAGUGUGAUUAUUUGCCUGCAAUAUGUGAAUCAUCACAAGUUGGAUGCCAGAAAGCCCAAGAGCCGGAUCAGAACAGGAGGGAGAAACCAACAAGGAAGACAAUUUUUGGUGCGGAAAUCUCUGAAACCAAUCAUGAUGCAUCUGUUGUAGCUUCAGAUACUCUACAGCCACUCAUUCCUCAAUCAAGUGUUGCUAAUUCUGAGUCAUCCUCCAUUUCAUCUUGGAAGAAACAUCCAGCUAGCUGGACACAGAAUCUGACAUCUGUUCCAGGAAAUUCUUGCCAUAGUGCUUUUCCUAAAUCAGAUAAUGGUUCAACCACAUUGAUGCAUGGCCAUGAAGUUACAGGGAAUGGUUCACUUGUUAAUAACAAUGUAAAAUUGGUUCCAAGUUUGAAAGCUGAACCAUCCUACCAAAAUAGCUCAUGCCUUUUUUCUCAGUUGGAUUCCAAGGAAUCUCAGGUGUGCCAUGGAUCAGUAGGCUUUGGCUACCUGAAUGGCUUCGGUGAUAGUAAUUCUGCUUCUGAACAAAUUCCCCAACAUGGUCCUACACAUAACUUUGGUGGCUCGGGCUGGAUGGGGAAUUCAAAGUCUUCAGAGGUAGCAAAUGCAGUUCUUCCAAAAAGUUGCCAGAAUGAAGCAAUUUUUUCUGAUUCAAAACUAAUAUUUGUUGAUGGUACAAAGAAGGAAGAAAAUCCAAAAGGAGGGUUUUCUUGGCUUAGAGAUAUUUCAUUUUGUAAUGGAAAAAAUUCCAAAGAAAGGAAUGGUUCUCAUCAGGUAAAUUCUCAGCAUUUUGCCAUCAAAGCUGAAACAAUGAAGAACCCCUCUCAAAGCUUGAUUCUGGAUUCCUCACUGAUGACAGAUUCCAAUGUCCAUGUUGCUGAGGACAGAAGAACUGAAGUUGGUGACUGUCCAAGCAGUGGUAAGAUUGUUGGAAUUCCUAUUUUUGAAAAGCAAAUGUCCAAGGACUUGCCAUCUGUAAGCUCUUUCUCGGAGCGAGGUUGUGCUUUGGAAAUUAAAGGUGCUCAUUCUAUUAAAGCUGGGUCACUUCUUGCUGAUCUAAAUCAUGAUCCUAUGCCAUCUGAAUCUGGAGAGACACAAAACUCAAAGAGUCUGGUUGCAGAAGAGGGAUCAGUUGAUUGUAGUGAUAAUUUAAGAAAUCACAUUGAUUUGAAUGUGAGUGUGACUGAAGAAGAGGCUCAACCAACACCUUUCUCUCCACAAACUAAGGUGAAGGUUGCACUUGAGAUAGAUUUGGAGGCACCAAUAUUUCUUGACAGUGAAAUAGAUAUUACUUCUGGAGGUGAAUUCGUAGAGAGCAAACUUAAAGAACCAUUUGACUCAAUAAAUGAUGAAUCAAGGGACUUUAAUGAAGGCUUUCUGAAGGAUGCAGCUGAGGUCCUAAUUGCCAUCUCAUCAUCAUGUGCGCAUGAUAUUCAAGAUGAUACCAGUCAUCACCAAGUGGAAGCUUCAGUGAGUGAAUCUCUUAAAUGGUUUGCAGAGAUAAUUACUUCUUACAAGGUUGAGGUUGAGAAUAAUUUAUCAGUUUCAGCUGGCACAGAUAGUACAGAUCGUGGAGAUUCCUUGCCAAAUGGUGUUGAUUAUUUUGAGUAUAUGACGCUAAAUUUGACAGAAGCCAAGUUAGAAGAGUAUCACUGUGAGCCUCAGAUUAUAGAGAACUCAAAAGAUGAAGUCACACUGCUAAGACGACCUCGGAGAGGUCAGGCAAGAAGAGGAAGGCAGCGGAAGGACUUUCAAAGGGAUGUACUUCCUGGUCUUGCCUCUCUGUCCAGGAAUGAUGUGGCUGAGGAUCUUCAGACCAUCGAAGGGCUUAUUAAGGCAACGGGUGGCAUUUGGCAAUCAAGUUUCUCACAGAGGAACUCUCCUAGGGGCAAAGGAGGGAGGGGGAGAAAGCGUUUAGGGGCUAAUGCUACCUCCCCUGCAGUAACUGCAGUUUGCCCACCUCAGACCCUGCAACCUAAAUGCGGGGAGCUGGUACUUGAGGAGACUAGACUAACAGGAUGGGGAAAGAGGACAAGGCGUCCGCCAAGACAGAGAUGUCCGAUUAAUCAUCCUCCUUUUCCAUUACAAUAAAGAGAGAGAGUUCAAAUGAUGUUGAAGGUUUUCCACAUUGUACAGGAAGAUCCUUCAAUUUUUCAGGCCUGUUGAGAGCGUUCAAAUGGCUUCGCCUGUCAAAUUUUUCAGGCCAGGAAGAUCCACAUUGUAAAUGCUUUCUUUCUUGAUUUUCAAUUCGGUAUCCUUCAAUUUUCAGCAUUCAGGGUGUGCUUGCUUCUCUAGUUGCAAAAUAAGUUAUAUUGAUCCUUAUUGACAUAAAACUGAUUUUUUUUUUCUUCAAUAAUAUUUAAUUCCAGCUUAGUGUGUGAUAUAGAUUAAAAGACAUGGUUUGGAAGUUGGGGAACCUCACAUUCCCUGAAUUCAAGAGUUAAUGUGUAUGUUAUUUUUCCUGCUUGAGGAGCUGCUUUUGUAUAUUAUAAUUAUAUCACCUUGAUGAUUGCUUAAAU